UACAGAGGUCUCAAGCGUUGUUCGGAUUCAUUGGGCGUAAAGGGUGCGUAGGCGGCGCGGUAAGUCGGGUGUGAAAUCUCCGAGCUCAACUCGGAAACUGCAUUGGAAACUACCUUGCUCGAGGGUUGGAGGGGGGACUGGAAUGCUUGGUGUAGCAGUGAAAUGCGUAGAUAUCAAGCGGAACACCAGUGGCGAAGGCGAGUCCCUGGACAACUCCUGACACUGAGGCACGAAAGCUAGGGGAGCAAACAGG
rnacentral:rRNA from 1 species